UCGGGUCUGCCGCUGCCUCCGGAUGUCCUGGGGCCGUUUUUGCUGUGUUUUGGGGUGCCCGGCAGCGCCUGGAAAAAGCCCGUGUUUCAGGCGGUGUUUUUCGGUGUGGGAGAUGCGCCGCGGGGCGCGCAGGGCUGUAAACGAGGGGAGAAGAGGUGCUGAGCGCUCGGUUAACUAGGAGGUUAAAAGUUAAUGCCAGGCCAUCACUGAGAGGAAAGUUAGUUGGCAACCGCAAACUGGUCUGCGAGUAGAAAAGGGAAGGCAUGGCUGCUUCCUUGGGGCAGCAGAAAUAACAGUUUAUGGGGUUUAGCAUAGGAAGGCAUUGGUGGGGAGAGAAGAGCUAUUGUGAGCUGCACAGCCAGUGUCCACAGCCUCUGGUGUCCAGUGCGGUUAAGUUAUGCUGGAAGAAGAUACUUGAAAGAAACCUCUGUGUGCUUAUCCUAGCUCAUUCGUUUCCUUUGAGACUAGUCAUGUGCUGAUAAUCGAGCAAGCAGGUCUAUAUUGUACUUAUUUCAAGAAGAAAAUCUUAAGUUUAGAGUGGCAACUCAAACCUUCAUCUUCAGUUUCCUUCCUGUGAAGUGGGAAUAGAUUUCAAAGAGACCGAUGCACCUACAAAUAUGUACAGACUAAGAACUGACAGAAGGCGCUAUUUCCAGUUGCACUUCCUCAGUCUCACAGGCAGUCUCCUGGGACAUUAGACUUGGCCACAACAGUAGCGUCAGAGAGUGUUUCCUUGAUCUCCUUGCAUCUGGUCAGAGAUUGCAUAUGGACCACAGGGGAAAUCCCAUAUGAUUGUCCAGGUGAGAUG